UUCUGUCAAAUGAUGAAGUAUUUCGGAUGUAAAACAAUUUUAUUGUCAUUGUCCUAAAGCGCAAAACCAUGCGGAGAUUUCCGUUGCCUUCCUUCUGAUUGCAGC
rnacentral:snoRNA from 1 species